rnacentral:rRNA from 1 species
ACAUGGGGACGUAUGUUGAAAGCACCGGUUUUUGUCCGAUCACCGAGGGUUAAGCAACAUCGAACCAAGUUAAUACUUUGCUGGGCGACCGCUUGGGAAACAUAAGUGCUGCAAGCG